rnacentral:misc_RNA from 1 species
UUUCCGUAGGUGAACCUGCGGAAGGAUCAUUACCGAGUGAGGGUCUCUCAGGCCCGACCUCCCACCCUGUGUUUUUGUGACCUUGUCGCUUUGGCGGGUCCGCCUCGAGGAGAGGCCGCCGGAAGCUCACCGCUUGGGGCCCGUGCCCGCCAGUAGCCCCCUUAAAUUCUUAAUAAACCUGUCUUCGAAGUCUAGAUAUAAUAAAAAAAAACUUUCAACAACGGAUCUCUUGGUUCUG